GUCUUUUUGAUGAUAAUUUAAAGUCUAGCCUGCCCAAUGAGGAGUUCAAUGGCCGCGGUAAUUUGACCGUGCAAAGGUAGCAUAAUCAUUAGUUUUUUAAUUGAAAGCUGGUAUGAAUGGCUGGACGAGAAAGAAGCUGUCUCUUUCUAAUUUUAGUUAGAAUUUUACUUUUGAGUAAAAAGGCUCAAAUGCAUUUAAAAGACGAGAAGACCCUAUAGAGUUUUAUACAUGCUGUUACUUAGGAGUUUAAGAUUAUUUUUUCUAGGGUAAUGUCAUGUGUUUUGUUGGGGUGACAGGAAAAUUAAUUUAACUUUUCUUAUUUUUUAACAUUAAUUUAUGUUUAAGUGAUCCAUUUUAGUAUGAUUAUAAGAAUUAAUUACCUUAGGGAUAACAGCGUAAUUUUUUUUGAGAGUUCUUAUCGAAAAAAGAGUUUGCGACCUCGAUGUUGGAUUAAAGUUAAUCUAUGGUGCAGAAGCUAUAGUAUUAGAUCUGUUCGAUCUUUAAAACUUUACAUGAUCUGAGU
rnacentral:rRNA from 1 species